UACGGGGGGAGCAAGCGUUGUUCGGAUUUACUGGGCGUAAAGGGCGCGUAGGCGGCCAGCACAAGUCAGUUGUGAAAUCUCCGAGCUUAACCCAGAACGGUCAGCUGAUACUGCGGGGCUAGAGUGCAGAAGGGGCAACUGGAAUUCUCGGUGUAGCGGUGAAAUGCGUAGAUAUCGAGAGGAACACCUGCGGCGAAGGCGGGUUGCUGGGCUGACACUGACGCUGACAGCGCGAAAGCUAGGGGAGCGAACGGG
rnacentral:rRNA from 1 species